rnacentral:rRNA from 1 species
UAGUCCACACCGUAAACGAUGAGAGCUAGUUGUCUGCAAGCAUGCUUGUAGGUGACGCAGCUAACGCAUUAAGCUCUCCGCCUGGGGAGUACGGUCGCAAGAUUAAAACUCAAAGAAAUUGACGGGGGCCCGCACAAGCGGUGGAGCAUGUGGUUUAAUUCGAUGCAACGCGAAAAACCUUACCUACCCUUGACAUCCUCAGAACUUGUUAGAGAUAACUUGGUGCCUUCGGGAACUGAGUGACAGGUGCUGCAUGGCUGUCGUCAGCUCGUGUCGUGAGAUGUUGGGUUAAGUCCCGCAACGAGCGCAACCCUUGUCCCUAGUUGCCAGCAUUUCGGAUGGGAACUCUAGGGAGACUGCUGGUGACAAACCGGAGGAAGGUGGGAAUGACGUCAAGUCAUCAUGGCCCUUAUGGGUAGGGCUACACACGUGCUACAAUGGUCGGUACAGAGGGUUGCCAAGCCGCGAGGUGGAGCUAAUCUCAUAAAACCGAUCGU